GGGAGGGCCUGUUGGAGGGCUCCACUUCUUGUGCUGGAGGCUUCCAUGGAAGGCCUCCCUUGCCCUGUAAAUAACCCAGCUCCUUUCUGCUGCUCAGCCGUGUGGACGCCACUUCAUUUCUGGCAGAUGAGGAGCACUGUAGAGGGAGUCCAGCUCUGCUGUGUGACUGUGGGUGACUGAAUUCCCUCUCAGGGUCUUGGUUUGCCUUGAGGUGAGGAGGUGAGGAGGGUGGGCUGGCUGAUCCCAAAGGGCCGCUGUCAGCUCUAAUGUCCCAGCCUGCCCUCCCGACAGCAAGGCUGUAUGAACGUCUUUCUGUAAGGGCCUGAAUUAUCAGGAAAACCACGGUUGGGAAGACCAGAAUCAAACACAACAAAAAAUAACAAGCCAGAAAUCACUCCUGUCUGUAUUUUCCUUUCUUCUCUAUCUGGCCUCAAGGGAGCAGCAGUGGAGAGGGACACAGCACUGGACCAAGGCGUCUGCAAGACCUGAAUUCAAUUCCCAUUCUGCCCCUUACGGGCAGUGUCAUUUGGGAAAACUAAGGCACAAGAGGUCCAUAGAAAGCAAGCCAGGACCUAAGCCUAGGCUCUUGACCACUGCACUGUAUCAACGAAGUGAAGACCAAACGAACCAGAGGAGCUAGAACUCAGCGCUCUUACGUUGGAAAGACAGUGAGGUUCCACUCAGGGUCUGCAUUCAUGCACAAAUGUCAAAACCAAGGAAGCCCUUGCCCA
rnacentral:lncRNA from 1 species